ACGGUACUGUAAGCGCUUUGCCAGAAUACCGAGUCGAGCGUACAUAUGACGCACACUAUUUAGCACACUAGAACUAGGAUUGGGACGUAGCCAUGUCUGAGCGUGCUUCGAAAUUUCCUGCGCGAGCGUCCUGAGCGGGAGAAAUCCAUGAGAGAAGGCAGGUGAAAGUUAGCCUGGAAGCUAAUGAAUUCCUGUGGGAAGAACUGUCACUUUUUACAUCGAAUUUUGGGUGUUCAGUGUGAACCAUGUUCCUAGCUGUGAAAUACAGAGCUAUUGACUACAACUAUGAGGCUUCGGCAAGGCGCAGGAUGAUGAUGAGUUCUCUCACGCUCCCGGUUCCCAUCCAGCUGGACAAUGAC